rnacentral:rRNA from 1 species
AGCGAACGCUGGCGGCAGGCUUAACACAUGCAAGUCGAGCGGGCACUUUCGGGUGUCAGCGGCGGACGGGUGAGUAACGCGUGGGAACGUGCCCUCUGGUUCGGAAUAACUCAGGGAAACUUGAGCUAAUACCGGAUACGCCCUUUUGGGGAAAGGCUUGCUGCCGGAGGAUCGGCCCGCGUCUGAUUAGCUAGUUGGUGAGGUAACGGCUCACCAAGGCGACGAUCCGUAGCUGGUCUGAGAGGAUGAUCAGCCACACUGGGACUGAGACACGGCCCAGACUCCUACGGGAGGCAGCAGUGGGGAAUAUUGGACAAUGGGCGCAAGCCUGAUCCAGCCAUGCCGCGUGAGUGAUGAAGGCCUUAGGGUUGUAAAGCUCUUUUAUCCGGGACGAUAAUGACGGUACCGGAGGAAUAAGCCCCGGCUAACUUCGUG